AUACUGACUAACUGAAAAAGUUCAGUUUAGGGUUUAAAACUCUAACGCUGACUAAAGGAAAAGUUCAAUUUAGGGUUUUAAAACCCUAAUGCUGAUUGAAUGGAAAAGUUCAGUUUAGGGUUUAAAACCCUAAUGCUGACUGAAUGGAAAAAGUUCAGUUUAGAGUUUAAAACCCUAAUGCUGACUAAAGGAAAAAGUUCAGUUUAGGGUUUAAAACCCUAAUGCUGACUAAAUGGAAAGAGUUCAACUUAGGGAUCAGAGCCCUAAAUUGGG
rnacentral:lncRNA from 1 species